rnacentral:rRNA from 1 species
UCUUUUGACCAAAUCACCCUAAAUGUGCCCAAUCGUCAUCAGAUCUCGGAAGCUACGCGGCGUUGAGCCUGGUUAGUACAGUACUCGAAUGGUAGACUGACCAGGAAUACCAUGUGUUGUUGCCU